AUACUUACCUGGUAGGGAAGAAACCAUGAUCACAAAGGUGGUUUUCCCAGGGUGAGACUUAUCCAUUGUCAAAUGUGCUGACCCCUGAGAUUUUCCCAAAUGUGGGAAACUCAACUGCAUAAUUUAUGGUCAUGGGGGACUGUGUUCACACUUUCCUCUG
rnacentral:snRNA from 1 species